rfam:Pteropus alecto contig86954, whole genome shotgun sequence.
GUCUACAGCCAUGCCACCCUGAACAAGCCCAAUGUCUGAUCUCGGAAGCUAAGCAGGGUCGGGCCUGGUUAGUACUUGGAUGGGAGACCACCUAGGAAGACCAGGUGCUGUAGGCA